AAGGGAGACCUAAUUCCGGUAGGAGACGAAAAAAAAGUAGUCGCUACCAAGAAUCAAUCCCAAAAGGUCGGAGCGAGGCGAAAUUGGCUUUCAAACUAGGUUCUGGGUUCACACAAGACCUGAAUCAGGAACAAGGGCUAUUAGCUCAGGUGGUUAGAGCGCACCCCUGAUAAGGGUGAGGUCCCUGGUUCGAGUCCAGGAUGGCCCACCUGUACAGGUGGCAAAAAGAAAGAAAAGAAGCGAGGAAUCAGCACCUUAUCUUACUGACAUAGUAAGAGAGAAUGCUGGCUCUGAGUAAAGAGUCCAGAGGAACCUUGAAAACUGCAUAGAGCUAGGUGAAAAAGCCAAAAAAGAAGACCGCAA
rnacentral:tRNA from 1 species